UAUUUUUUUUAAAUCACCCCGUGCAGGACUCAUGUUAUUAUCUAUUACAGGUAAUUUGGCAAUCACAAAAGAAAGAAGACUAGUAAGGGUGGGUUGCGUUUGUGCCAAAAAAAAAAAAAGUAAGGGGGGGUUGCGUAAAGCAUUCGAAUUCAAUCAAAACCGCGUAUCAACAUAGGAUCUCAUCAGGAUCAUUGUCAUGGGUCCUGCUUUAGCCAUCUUCUAUAGACCCACU
rnacentral:lncRNA from 1 species